GAUGAAUAUGCAGAAGACAAAGAUAAUGUUCAAUAUCCUGGCAAGGGAACAAGAAUUCAGGAUCGCCAGUCAGCCUCUAAAGUCUGUAAAGGAGUACGUUUAUCUAGGUCAAUUACUCACAGGGGACCCUGAUCAUGAGAAAGAAAUUUACAGAAGAAUAAAAUUGGGUUGGAGUGCAUACGGUAGGCAUUGCCAAAUCCUGACUGGGAGCUUACCACUGUCGUUGAAAGGAAAGUGUACAAUCAUUGCAUUCUACCGGUGCUAACAUACGGGGCAGAAACUUGGAGGUUAACAAAGAAGCUCGAGAACAAGUUAAGGACCGCACAAAGAGCAAUGGAACGAAAAAUCUUAGGGGUAACGUUAAGAGACAGGAAGAGAGCGGUGUGGAUCAGAGAACAAACGGGGGUAGACGAUAUUCUAGUUGACAUUAAGCGGAAGAAAUGGAGCUGGGCAGGCCAUGUAAUACGUAGGAUGGAUAACCGGUGGACCAUUAGGGUUACAGAAUGGAUACCAAGAGAAGGGAAGCGCAGUCGAGGACGGCAGAAAGUCAGGUGGGAUGAUGAGGUUAGGAAAUUCGCAGGCGCAAGUUGGAAUACGCUAGCGCAAGACAGGGGUAAUUGGAGAUCGCAGGGAGAGGCCUUCGUCCUGCAGUGGACAUAAAUAUAGGCUGAUGAUGAUGAUGAUGAUGA